rnacentral:rRNA from 1 species
CAAUAGCGUAUAUUAAAGUUGUUGCAGUUAAAAAGCUCGUAGUUGAAUUUUUGCUUGCCGCCGAUGUCGGAACUUCCGUACGUUCGGCGGCGUGCAUCCUUGGGUGGAACCUGUGUGGCAUUAGGUUGUCGUGCAGGGGAUGCUCAUCGUUUACUGUGAAAAAAUUAGAGUGUUCAAAGCAGGCUUAUGCCGUUGAAUAUAUUAGCAUGGAAUAAUAAGAUAGGACCUUGGUACUAUUUUGUUGGUUUGCGCACCGAGGUAAUGAUUAACAGGGACAGUUGGGGGUAUUCGUAUUCCAUUGUCAGAGGUGAAAUUCUUGGAUUUCUGGAAGACGAACUACUGCGAAAGCAUUUACCAAGGAUGUUUNCAUUA